UCCGGUUUGUCACCGGCAGUCUCAUUAGAGUGCCCAACUGAAUGUAGCAACUAAUGACAAGGGUUGCGCUCGUUGCGGGACUUAACCCAACAUCUCACGACACGAGCUGACGACAGCCAUGCAGCACCUGUGUUCCCGUUCCCUUUCGGGCACAGCCCCGUUUCCGGAGCCUCCAGGACAUGUCAAGGGUAGGUAAGGUUUUUCGCGUUGCAUCGAAUUAAACCACAUACUCCACCGCUUGUGCGGGCCCCCGUCAAUUUCUUUGAGUUUUAAUCUUGCGACCGUACUCCCCAGGCGGCGCGUUUAACGCGUUAGCUCCGGCACGGAAGGGGUCGAAUCCUCCCACACCAAACGCGCACCGUUUACGGCGUGGACUAC
rnacentral:misc_RNA from 1 species